UGCAGUGGAAGAUGCCCUUGGAAAACUGAAGCAGAGUCGGCCGCUGACCAUGCAGAGUCCUUUUGAGCAGCGCAUGGCUUGUUUGUCACAUAUCUCAAGGUACACGGCUGCAAAGUCAGUGUGCAGACAGCAGUGCUCCCAUGAUAUAUCUGUGACUUUCUAUAAAUGCUUGCACAGGAGCAUUGCUGGCAUCGUGUCCAGUAGUGACAACCCUGAUUUUCAAAGGCAGGCUCUGCAGCUGGCCAACAGUUCUUUGGAGGACCUGCCCAUCAAGAUCCAGGCAUGCCAAUCUGUUGCUCAAUGCUUAAGUGUUGUGUGUUUAUUUUCUGAUGCUAAACAUUGCGCUCCAGGCACAAUCACAGACUUUGCAUUCUACCAUGCAG
rnacentral:lncRNA from 1 species